GUUGCAGUUAAAAAGCUCGUAGUUGAACCUUCGCUCUGGCUGGCCGGUCCGCCUCACCGCGAGUACUGGUCCGGCUGGAGCUUUCCUUCUGGGGAACCUCAUGGCCUUCACUGGCUGUGGGGGGAACCAGGACUUUUACUGUGAAAAAAUUAGAGUGUUCAAAGCAGGCCUUUGCUCGAAUACAUCAGCAUGGAAUAAUAGAAUAGGACGUGCGGUUCUAUUUUGUUGGUUUCUAGGACCGCCGUAAUGAUUAAUAGGGAUAGUCGGGGGCGUCAGUAUUCAGCUGUCAGAGGUGAAAUUCUUGGAUUUGCUGAAGACUAACUACUGCGAAAGCAUUCGCCAAGGAUGUUUUCAUUAAUCAGGGAACGAAAGUUAGGGGAUCGAAGACGAUCAGAUACCGUCGUAGUCUUAACCAUAAACUAUGCCGACUAGGGAUCGGACGGGAUUCUAUUAUGACCCGUUCGGCACCUUACGAGAAAUCAAAGUUUUUGGGUUCUGGGGGGAGUAUGGUCGCAAGGCUGAAACUUAAAGAAAUUGACGGAAGGGCACCACAAGGCGUGGAGCCUGCGGCUUAAUUUGACUCAACACGGGGAAACUCACCAGGUCCAGACAAAAUAAGGAUUGACAGAUUGAGAGCUCUUUCUUGAUCUUUUGGAUGGUGGUGCAUGGCCGUUCUUAGUUGGUGGAGUGAUUUGUCUGCUUAAUUGCGAUAACGAACGAGACCUCGGCCCUUAAAUAGCCCGGUCCGCAUUUGCGGGCCGC
rnacentral:rRNA from 1 species